AUGAACGCUGGCGGCAGGCCUAACACAUGCAAGUCGAACGGAGUUAUAUUGUAGCUUGCUAUGGUAUAACUUAGUGGCAGACGGGUGAGUAAUGUAUAGGAAUCUACCUAGUAGUACGGAAUAAUUGUUGGAAACGGCAACUAAUACCGUAUACGCCCUACGGGGGAAAAAUUUAUUGCUAUUAGAUGAGCCUAUAUUAGAUUAGCUAGUUGGUGGAGUAAUAGCCUACCAAGGCAAUGAUCUAUAGCUGAUCUGAGAGGAUGAUCAGCCACACUGGAACUGAGAUACGGUCCAGACUCCUACGGGAGGCAGCAGUGGGGAAUAUUGGACAAUGGGCGAAAGCCUGAUCCAGCCAUGCCGCAUGAGUGAAGAAGGCCUUUGGGUUGUAAAGCUCUUUUAGUGAGGAAGAUAAUGACGGUACUCACAGAAGAAGUCCUGGCUAACUCCGUGCCAGCAGCCGCGGUAAUACGGAGAGGGCUAGCGUUAUUCGGAAUUAUUGGGCGUAAAGGGCGCGUAGGCGGAUUAGUAAGUUAAAAGUGAAAUCCUAAGGCUCAACCUUGGAAUUGCUUUUAAAACUGCUAAUCUGGAGAUUGAGAGAGGAUAG
rnacentral:rRNA from 1 species